AGUGAACGCUGGCGGUAGGCCUAACACAUGCAAGUCGAACGGCAGCACAGUAAGAGCUUGCUCUUACGGGUGGCGAGUGGCGGACGGGUGAGGAAUACAUCGGAAUCUACUUUUUCGUGGGGAAUAACGUAGGGAAACUUACGCUAAUACCGCAUACGACCUACGGGUGAAAGCAGGGGAUCUUCGGACCUUUCGCGAUUGAAUGAGCCGAUGUCGGAUUAGCUAGUUGGCUGGGUAAAGGCCCACCAAGGCGACGAUCCGUAGCUGGUCUGAGAGGAUGAUCAGCCACACUGGAACUGAGACACGGUCCAGACUCCUACGGGAGGCAGCAGUGGGGAAUAUUGGACAAUGGGCGCAAGCCUGAUCCAGCCAUACCGCGUGGGUGAAGAAGGCCUUCGGGUUGUAAAGCCCUUUUGUUGGGAAAGAAAAGCAGCAGGUUAAUACCCCGCUGUUCUGACGGUACCCAAAGAAUAAGCACCGGCUAACUUCGUG
rnacentral:rRNA from 1 species